rnacentral:rRNA from 1 species
GACGAACCUGACGAACGUUAUUCGGAAUCACUGGGCUUAAAGGGUGCGUAGGCGGUACGGAAAGUUGGGUGUGAAAUCCCUUGGCUUAACCAAGGAAUUGCGCCCAAAACUGCCGUGCUCGAGGGAGAUAGAGGUGAGCGGAACUUAGGGUGGAGUGGUGAAAUGCGUUGAUAUCCUAAGGAACACCGGUGGCGAAAGCGGCUCACUGGAUCUCUUCUGACGCUGAGGCACGAAAUCUAGGGGAGCGAACGGG